rnacentral:rRNA from 1 species
GACGAACGCUGGCGGCGUGCUUAACACAUGCAAGUCGAACGGAAAGGCCCUGCUUUUGUGGGGUGCUCGAGUGGCGAACGGGUGAGUAACACGUGAGUAACCUGCCCUUGACUUUGGGAUAACUUCAGGAAACUGGGGCUAAUACCGGAUAGGAGCUCCUGCUGCAUGGUGGGGGUUGGAAAGUUUCGGCGGUUGGGGAUGGACUCGCGGCUUAUCAGCUUGUUGGUGGGGUAGUGGCUUACCAAGGCUUUGACGGGUAGCCGGCCUGAGAGGGUGACCGGCCACAUGGGAACGGAGAUACGGCCCAGACUCCUACGGGAGGCAGCAGUGGGGAUUAUUGCACAAUGGGCGGAAGCCUGAUGCAGCAACGCCGCGUGCGGGAUGACGGCCUUCGGGUUGUAAACCGCUUUCGCCUGUGACGAAGCGUGAGUGACGGUAAUGGGUAAAGAAGCACCGGCUAACUACGU